rnacentral:lncRNA from 1 species
AACAAGAUGGGACAUAAUUUAGAUUGGGGAGCUAAAAAAGGUUCCCUAAAGUUUAAUCUGAUACUUGAAGAUUUGUCAAAGAAAGAGAAUUUGUGUGAUGGUGGCUGGUUAAAAAAAAAAAAAAAAACAACACAAUAUGUGUAUUGCAGGGGUGGGGACGGGGUGCAAGGUGGAGGGAGCUAGAGAUCUGCAUCAUAAGGAGUUAGGACAGAGCAGUGACAGAUAAGGUCAAAGUGAUGGGCUGGGGUCAGAACCACAGGGACCCCAAAGGCCUUACUAAGAGGUUUGAAUUUUAUUGUAAGUGUGAUGUGGUGUGAUUUGAGACUCUUAAGACUGACAAUGUGAUGUUUUCAAAAAAUCACUCUAGCUACUUUCUGAAGAAUGGAAUAGAGGGAAGGAAGACUAGAUACAAGGAAACUCAGAAGACUAAAAUCCAAGCAAGAUAUUAUGGUCCAUUUGAUGGGAGACUUGGCAGUAAAGAUAGAGAGAGGUAGAUAGAUUUGAGAUGUAUUUUGGAAGCAAAUCAACAGGACUUGAUGAGACAACGAAUCUUAGAAAAUUAUUCUCAGGUUUCUUGCAAUGGUAGGCAGCCUCUAUAAUGCUCCCAAUUAUCUCCACUUCCAAACCUCUCCCUCAUUGUAACAGAGUUGUUCUGUGUGUUCAACAGAAUAUGGCAGAUAUAACAGCACGUAAUUUCCAAGGCAAGGUCAUAAAAGACAUUGUAGCUUCUGCCUUGUCCCUUCCUCUUGGAUCUCUUGCUAUGGAGUAGCAGCCCCAUGAAGACACCCGUGGUGGAAGAUCACUGAGGACUCCUGCCAACAGCCACCCAGUGACUGAGGCCUCUUGCAGAAAUCCAUAUGAGUGGGCCAGCUGACAAGAAAAUCUUCCAGCUCUAGUCAAGCCUUCAGAACACCAGCUCUUAGUGCCAGGAACUGCCAGGUAAGAAUUCUGACUACACUGAGGCCACCAUGCUCUGAGGAAGUCAAGCCAGAUGGAAAGAUCACAGCAGGAGAACUGGUCAGCAGUCAUACUCUUGAACUCAUCCCAACCCAGACUCCAGACAUGUGAAUUGACAAGUCUUCAGAUGAUUCCAGCACAAAGCCAUUGAGUCACCUCCAGCCAUUGAGUGUCCCCAGCCGAGACACCAGUCACCAUCAAGCAGAGCCAGUAUGCCUGUUAUGCCUGUCCAAAUUCUUGACCCACUAAAUUCUAUGAAAUUAAUAAAUGGUUGUUUAAGUUACUAAAUUUUAAACUUAAUUUGUUAUGCAGUAAUAGGAAUUGUUCCUGUCUG